AUUGAACGCUGGCGGCAGGCCUAACACAUGCAAGUCGAGCGGAUGAGAGAAGCUUGCUUCUCGAUUCAGCGGCGGACGGGUGAGUAAUGCCCAGGAAUCUGCCUGGUAGUGGGGGACAACGUUUCGAAAGGAACGCUAAUACCGCAUACGUCCUACGGGAGAAAGCAGGGGACCCUCGGGCCUUGCGCUAUCAGAUGAGCCUAGGUCGGAUUAGCUAGUUGGUGAGGUAAUGGCUCACCAAGGCGACGAUCCGUAACUGGUCUGAGAGGAUGAGCAGUCACACUGGAACUGAGACACGUUCCAGACUCCGACGGGAGGCAGCAGUGGGGAAUAUUGGACAAUGGGCGCAAGCCUGAUCCAGCCAUGCCGUGUGUGUGAAGAAGGUCAUCGGAUUGUAAAGCACUUUAAAUUGGGAGGAAGGGUUGUAGAUUAAUACUCUGCAAUUUUGACGUUACCGACAGAAUAAGCACCGGCUAACUCUGUGCCAGCCGCCGCGGUAACAC
rnacentral:rRNA from 1 species